GACAGAGGUGCCGAGCGUUAGUCGGAAUCACUGGGCUUAAAGCGUGUGUAGGCGGAUCGUUAAGUACCUUGUGAAAUCCCAUGGCUCAACCAUGGAACUGCUUGGUAUACUGGCGGUCUUGAGCCAGCUAGGGGCUACCGGAACAAAUGGUGGAGCGGUGAAAUGCGUAGAUAUCAUUUGGAACGCCAAUGGUGAAAACAGGUAGCUGGGGCUGUGCUGACGCUGAGACACGAAAGCCAGGGGAGCGAACGGG
rnacentral:rRNA from 1 species